CAUACCCUCCCCUACCCACCUUCCUUGGGGUGGAGAUUCUGGAUGUACUCACCAUUGGGAAGAUGAGGCAUUACAGAGACGGGGGAGAAGGGAGAUGGACACUCCUUCUGUCCUGGGUACCCCUGGACCGAGUUAUCAGCAAUCCUCCCAACAUCUUCUACCGGGACAUGUAGCAGCUGGCCUCAGAAAUCCGCAGGUCCUCAGGACUUCCUGGCAGCUCAGGUUUCUGGAAGCUGGUGUACUAAGACUGUGAACCCUAUAUGGAUUGGGCACAUUGUAGGCCGUGAGUUGAAAUCCCAGCAUGGACAGAAAUUCAUUCGUGGAGUACAAAGCCAAAUUUGUCACAUUUUUUUUCCUUCUCUGUAAAAGUCCUAGGUCUCAAGACAAUGUAUAAUCCAUAUCAAAUAUAUCCUAUGUGAUAUGAUGUCAUAAAAGAAUCUUAUAAGUGAA